UGCCACGUACUGCUCUUUUCUCUCCGAAACUGUGAAAUUCUCCGUGAAGUCCAAAUUUGAAACAUCAGGAAUGAUGCUCACUAUAGCGCUGUGUGGUGCAGAAACAACGGUUUGUUGUUGCUGUGUUGUAUGUUCUGGAACAGGUUCUCUUCAACGUCACGAGUCUAUCAAAAGUUGUCGCCUUUGGCAUUUGCUUUUUACCUACUAGUAUGUACCAGCCUACAAGUACUUGCAAGCAGUAGAAGCGAUUGCUAUGUAGACCGAGCCAGCGGUCAGCGGUUGGUGUUCGCUAUUCAGGACUUGGCUGCGGAAAAAGAUUUGGUUGGAAGGAGCUACUGGUAGCUAAAAUGUACAUGCAAGCGAAGCGUCAGCAUGUCGGGAACAAAGGUACGAUAGUCGCUAGACCGGCUAUGUAAAGUUAGCAGUUAUGUCCUGUACUACAACUAAGUAUAGCAACGAAGUCAAGACGCUUGCAACGAGCUUGAAACGGCAACGUCGUUACACGUAGCAGGUCAACACAGUAUGUCUUUGGAAGACGAAGUUCAACUUCGGCCAAGAAGUCCAGCAGCCACCAAGCGAACUGGCAUGGCUAGCAGUGGCCUCUGACAUAACGUCGAAAGUUCGGUCUUCGGACCUGUCCAUCGUGUCACAUCGUUUGUGACUUCUGUGGCUAUCCGUACACCGACCGACCUGCAGUGCAGACUGGAUAUGAGUGCGUUUGCAUACCAUGCCUUCGUUAUUAUUAUCAUUUUUUUGUAAACUGUCACCAAUAUCGAGACGGACACAAGGCUUGCGAUCGACAGAAUAUGGACAAGUGCAAGACGUACUGUUCUCACGCUAUCCAUUAGCCGACUGCGGCGUGCAGACCCUCGUCCGGAGUCAUUGCUGUUCGUUCAGGAGUCACUCAGUGGCACGGCAGAGAAAGCCACGAGCGAUGCGGAUGGCGUAGCAAAUCUGCUGAAUGAGGCAGUAAGAAACCCCGUCCAGCAAUUAAGCCAAAGCCAGUGGUGGCUGGUUCUCGUCCUGCACACCUACGACAGCAAAUAUCCAAACUUGGAGAAGAGGUAGUGUAACCACCGUCGUCUUUUGAAAAGGACCCAAUACCAGGAUCAAUGGUACGUACUCUACUUUGCCGAGCACCCGGUCCGACAGGAAGACGCUUGCCAACUUGGCGUGGCACUGCUGCCAAGUCAGACUAUCGCUUUGUCAUGUAAUGUAUCAGAGAGGCUGGAACACUGAAACCGUCAAGUUGGAGGAGCUUUGAGAACUGCAAUAGAGUAUACCGAAAUUAUCAGUAAGUUGGUGAAAUCAAGGACUAGCUGUGCACUCCACUGGUCUGGCAUGGUGCUGUUGCUGCUACAGUGUAGUAGUGGCGUACUGCACUGCGGUGGUUAGGCUAACAGGGUGAUCCUGCUAGUUGUGUACUGCACUGCGCUGGUUAGGCUAACGUGGAGAUCCUGCUCAAGACCGGUGCGCUCUUGCUAGCCUCCAUGUUGCUGUUGUUCCCGGUCUGGGAAUCAGCUAACAGUUAUCAGCUAUGCGUGGUGAUCAUGCGUAUCAGCACGGAGUUGUGUGACAAAAGCAGUGGCAUUGUCAGCAGUGUGGUACUUGUCCACUGGUUUAUUUGAGUGCAGACGGUGUGUGUGGUACUUACAUGUGCCGGAUCAUGGACUAUCAGUAACACAUCCAGCACCUUGGACAAUCAGUUUGUUGUUGGUCAGUUGGUUUGUCAUUGUCUAUACCGCCAGUCAUUAUGAAGACUGCUUGCUUUGUUUGCCGUCACUGUGCAAUUCACUGUGCACCUUACAGUUCUGCAUCUUCUACUUACAUUAGAUACAUGUAGGUGCUUGUGUGUCAUAUCUACUAGAUGUUCUGAUUUUGUCAAGUGAUUCUUGCCCCCCCCCCCCACCCCCCUCCACCCCCUUUUGCUUUCAGAAUAUUAUUAAUUUUUACAAACAAAAACUGCUGCCCCGUAGGUAGUAUGUGCUGCAACAGUACGUCUAUUAUAUUACGAUUUAGAAAGUCUUGAAUUAUCGUUUCAUAGCCCCAUUCCUGAAGAUCGUUGAAUGACAUUGUGGAAUUACUCCCCUUUUUUAAUCAAUUUCCUUCUCAGAGUGACUCUGAUUACUGCAUUUUGGUGAAUGGUGUGCAUAUCAAUAUUAUGCUGUUUGCAUAGUGCACGGUUAUUCCAUCACACCCUACAUGAUAGAUGUAUGGACUGGCAAUAGCCAUAGCAGCGUGCACUAAUGUGCCUGCUGCUGCACCCUAGCAUCCUGCACACUGUGGUACCACUCAAGACCGUGAAUGUCAUUCUGCUAUUAAUUCCAGUGGUACGCAGCUGCACUCAGUCUUUCACUUACUUCUCAUUGUUAUGUAGACCGCCCUUUCCCUAGUUAUGCUUUGAUCUCCUUUCAAGUCAAUCAUUAUAUUUAUAA